GGGCAUAUGGUUUAGUGGUAUAAUAUUCCCUUAGCAUGCAGCACGCCUGUUUCUAGUUUGGGAAUGGUCCUGGGUUCGAUUCCCAGUUUGUCCA